ACAGUCCUCUCGCAGCAGCUGCUGGAGGUGGCUGUGUCCUUGCUGAUGGACCUGGAGGUGGCUGUGUCCUUGCUGAUGGACCUGGAGGUGGCUGUAUCCUUGCUGAUAGACCCGAGAUACCUGGAGACCCAGGCUCACUCCCUGCUCACUGCCUCAGAUCAGGGCUGGAGACAGAAACCCGGACACACAGGACCCUCUUGAGAAAGCCCAGGAGCCCUCAACAUCACAGGACACAGCCCUACUGACCUCAUGGAGAAGGAAACAAAGAAGAGGAACGAAGGAACAAAAAAAAAAUGGAAGACCCUCUUGCUGGCAAGAUGAAUACAAUUAUAGCCAUGUUUAGUUACACUGCAGAGAAAUUUGGCAACACCAAAGAGAAAGAAGACACUGAAAGCUUGAUGAGCAGAAAUGGAAAUCAACCACAAAGACUGGCUGAUGCUUUUUUUUUUUUUUUUUUUUUAAAUCUUUUAGUCAAGCCUCCAAAGUUAUGGAAGAAAAUGGUGUCUAGCCAAUGAUCCAAGUGUGAGAAUAUAAAAAGGCAAUUUCAGGCAAGCAACAACUUGGAAUUGACCUCGUUUUCUCUUGACAAGAUAUUUGGCCAUACGCUGCCGCAAAAGUAGAAAGAAGGCUGAGAAAGAUGACAUAAAAUCCAAGAAAGAAAGGCAUUAACCUGGCACACAGUGAAAAAUUCUACCAGGAUAGUGGUUCAGCAGGACGACAGAGCCAGUGCUCCUGUUAGCUCAAAGAAUGUGCUGAAGAGUUGGUUUUUCAGGAGGAAAAGUGGAUUCCCAGAAUAAUAGUAUAAUUAGGAAGCUGGUAACCUUGGAGACUGGGUAAAGGCUUAUGUUUUUGUUAACAAGAGGCCAACUAGGUUACGGGGAAAAAAAAUAGAAGCUGUGCAAGAAAGCCUUGGUGAAAUGAAAGCAAUCAAGAUGGGCACCGCUGAGCAAUUCAUCAAUGUAAUAGGAGAGUCCAACGCACCUGGAUAGUCAAGACAUUUUCAGUUGAGGGAUACAUUUUCAAGGAUAUAAAGUAACAUUUUCUCUUGCAGACUGAUCACACUUUAUUAUGUUGUAAAUAAUAUUUAUAGGGUCAUAUUGUAAAUCCUGUUUAUGGAUCUAUUAUUUAGACUCAGCCUAGCACAGGGAAAACAGAAACAUAAAUCUAAUAAAUAUUAACAAUGUGAAGCAAACAGGAGGUGAGAUGAAAAGUAAAAGUCCAUUUCACCACCAUUUGUAUUAGUAAGUUGUUUUUUGGUUUUGUUUUGUUUUGCUUUUUUGGAGACAGGGUCUCACUCUGUUGUCCAGGCUGGAGUGCAGUGGCAAAACCUUGGCUCACUGCAGCCUCCGCCUCCACAAAUGUUCAAGCAUUUCUUCUGCCUCGGCCUCCCGAGUAGCUGGGAUUACAGGCACAUGCACCAUGCCUAAUUUUUGUAUUUUUAGUAGAGACAGGGUUUCACCAUGUUGACCAGGCUGGUCUUGAACUCCUGACCUCAGGUGAUCCACCUACCUCAGCCUCCCAAAGUGCUGGGAUUACAGGCAUGAGCCACCAUGCCCAGCCUACAUUCGUAAGUUAAUAGACAUUGUCCCAAAAUAUACUUAAUAUAUUUUUUGUAUACUUUUGUAUAUUAAUAGUAUACAAAAUAUACUAUUACUGUGUGUUUUAUUGCCAACUAGUAAAAGCUAAAAUCAGGAAUUAUCAAAGUUGUAGCUACAGGGGACUGGAGACUGGGGUUGAACGUUGAGGUGAACAGGAUACCUACUCUCAUUCCCCCCAGUUUAUUCUUAUUAAAUAUUUAUUUAUAGUAAAUUGGCUUUUGGGGUGCACAGUGCUAUAUAAAUUUUAACAUUAUCUUGAUUUAUAAAUACUGUCACGAUCAGAAUACGUAGACCCCAAAAUUGUGCUACCCCAUAGUCAAACCUUUCCUCCACUCCUAACCCACGCCAAUCACUAAUGUGUUCUGUGUCCCUGGAGUUUUUGGCUUUCUGCGAAUGUCAUGUAAAUGGAAUUAUACAAUUAUUCUGUCAAUGCCACUCUUUUGGGGGAGUGGGACUGGGCAAGAGAACAAUUUCCAUUUUUAACCACAGAGCUAUGGCAGAAGGAACCAGUGAGCUGUCCCUCUGUUCCCCUUCUCCACAUCUCCAAUCACAGGUGUGAGAAAAGGAACUCCAGCCCAGGGUGGGACCAGCCCCUCCCCACACCCUCAAUGUUUAAGAAAUAAAAGUGUGUAAUUUUUUGAGGCUGGCUUCUUCCACAGCACAAUGCAUUUGAAAUGCAUUCACAUCGUUGUAUCAAGUUUGUUCCCUUUUUUGCUGAGUGGUGGGUGUUUAUGCAUCCUCCAUUGAAGGACAUUUGAGUGAUUUCCCAUCUUCAGUGAUUAUAACCAGAGCUUCUAUAAACAUUCAUGUGUGGGCUUUUAUGUGAACACAAGUUUCCAGUUCUCUAGGGUAAAUAUCUAGGAGUGGGAUGGCUGGGUCACAUGGUGAGUGUUUACCUGUAUAAGAAACUGCCAAACUGUUUUUCAGAGGGGCUACAGCAUCUUGUCCUCCAACCAGCGAUGCAGGGGAGUUCCAGGUGCCCCAUAUCCUCACCAACACUUGGUAUUGUCAAGGUUAAAACAAUUAUUACAGCCACCUGAUAGGUGUGUUGUAACUCAUUGUGGUCUUCAUUUAUAUUUCCCUUAAUAAGACCAAUGCUAUUGUUCAUGUGCUUAUUUGUCAUGUGUGUAUAUCUCCUUUGGUGACAUAGCUGUUCAAAUCUUUUGCGUUUUUAAUUGGGUUAUAUAAAAUUAAAUUUAAAUUAAGAUUAUACAGAUUUGCUGUGAAAGAAGCCAGCCUCAAAAAGUUGCACACUGUAUAAUUCUAUUUACAUUGAGCUUUUAGAGUACUUUACAUAUUUUGGAUACAAGUUCUUUGUCAAAUACAUGAUUUCUAAAUAUUUUCUCCCAGUUUAUAGUGAAUCUUUUUAUUCUCUUCAGAGUGAUAUUGGCUGGGUACAUGUAUUCAAAUUUGUAUUCAAAUCUUAGUGUAGGCCCGCACAGUGGCUCAUGCCUGUAAUCCCAGCAAUUCGGGAGUCUGGGGUGGGAGGAUUGCUUCAGCUCAGGAGUUUGAGACCAGCAUGGGCAACAUAGUGAGACCCCAUCUCUACCAAAAGUGAAAAUUAGCUGGGUGUGGUGGUACAUGCCUGUAGUCCCAGCUACUUGGGAGGCUGAGGCAGAAGGAUCACUUGAGCCCAGGAGGAUGAGGCUGCAGUGAGCUGUGACUACACCACUGCAUUCUAGCCUGGGCAAUAGAGCAAGACCCUGUCUCAAAAAAAAAAAAAAAAAAAAAAAGGGUGACAUCGACAGAACAAACAUUUUUAGUUUUGGUGAACUCUAUCAAGUUUUUCUUCUAUAGAUUGUGUUUUUGAUGUCAUAUCUAAG
rnacentral:lncRNA from 1 species